UUGAACGGGCUCAUGCUAUCUGGUUUGUAGCGGUGAAAUGCGUAGAUAUAUGGAAGAACACCUGUGGCGAAAGCGGCUUACUGGCUUGUUAUUGACGCUGAGGCACGAAAGCGUGGGGAGCAAAUAGGAUUAGAUACCCUAGUAGUCCACGCCGUAAACGAUGAGUACUAGGUGUUGGGGUUAUCUCAGCGCCGCAGCUAACGCAUUAAGUACUCCGCCUGAGUGGUAUGCUCGCAAGAGUGAAACUCAAAGGAAUUGACGGGGACCCGGACA
rnacentral:rRNA from 1 species